rnacentral:lncRNA from 1 species
GCAAUUACAAGCUAUAAGCAGGGAUUGAUGAAUCAGUGGAUAUUAGCAGAUAUCAGAGGUUGGUAGAGAGACUGAUUUAUUUUUCGCAUACUUGACUAGACAUGGCAUACUCUUCUCAUAGUCUAUAAAAAUAAUCGAGUAUCAUCCCUCAUCCAAUUUUUUUUAGUGUCAUCAAUUGGAGGAUCCUUGGUAAGGUGAUCGUCCAUUCCGAUGCUUCAUAAAUAAAUACGAAUAGUCUUACUCCAAUUCAGAAAAUUAAAUCCAUUUAAUUUGUGUUUCGUGAUUUUAGUGAUAACAGGAAUCACAUAUACUACCGUAUUUUUAUUUUCAGCCAUGGAAAUAGCUCAUCCAAAUCAAAGGCAUCCAAAUCAAAGGCAACAAGAGGCAUAGAAAAAAAAAGUAUACUACCGUAUUUUUAUUUUCAGCCAUGGAAAUAGCUCACCCAAAUCAAAGGCAACAAGAGGCAUAGAAAAAAAAUAAGGAAUGUGAACAGUACCUAAAAUGCAACCCAAAAACACCUCCACAAAAUACGCAAAUGGCAAACUGACAAAACUGAAGAGAGGACUUCGGGGCAACACCGACGAUGGUGAUCGGAGCACAUAUGAAUAAGCGACGCGCCUCCACACACUGGCGAGAGCUCUCCAGCGUCCUUCCUAGGUGGGCGAUGAGAAACAAAUGUCACCUUAUAGGGGUGACCUAAAAGAACUGGACAAAAUGGAGCCUUAAGUCUAUGUUUUAGAGGAAAAAAAUUUAAAUCUUUUGUCUACAAGGCUAUGAUACCAUGUAGAGAAGUAAUAUUUUUUGUAUCUGUUUCAAUAGAGAUUACAACAUAUUUAUAUGUAAAAAGUCUAUCUAGAAAUGAAAGGAAAUCCUUUUAUCAAGCCUAUAAUCAUGCAAUUCCUAAAAUCAAAUAACUGACAAAUUUAUCCAUAUUUACUUCCUAUACUAACAUAUUUGCUUCCUUUAACAAUAAUUAUAUUAUAUCCAAAUAUAUCUUAAACAUAUUGUUGCCAAUGGUGAAAAUAGAGAAGAGAGAGAAAUAGAGGGAGGAGAAUUGGAUUGAAUUACUUGAUAAUUCCCUCAAGCAUUGGAGUUCAUAUACAACUUGCGAAAUUCAUCAAUUAGGUAAUACAAUCAAUCAAUAGUAGCACAUGACCAAAGAAUCAUAAUCCCAACAUUCACACACAAACAUCACAACAUUAUCACACAUGUAACUAGCAUUCUAUUGCUUCCCCUCAAGUUGGAACAUAUAAAUUGUGUGUGCUAACUUGUUACAUGUGUUUAAUCCGAGGACCUUUAGGAAUUCAAUGAGGAUGUCGACUAAUCAUUUGAUAAGGCUGAGGGCUCAAAAACAAGAAAUUUUAAGGUAUAUUUCAGGAGAAGAAGAAACAGAGUGCACACAAUUGAUAGUCAUACAGCUUGCAGAUUUUGGGAAUAAUGGGUAAGGACAAGUGGCAGGAAUUAGUUACAAGGGCAGAUUCCCCUCCAGUUUCUAAGGAGGAAUUGGGCAGAGAAUCAGGCAUCUUUUCUCAGUCCAUUUUUUCUCUAUUCUAGAGAGGGAAGAAGGUCUUCCUUUUGCAGAGAGUGCCUUACUCUUGGGGAUGGUUACAGCCAUUUUUUGUUUUAUUUAUUUUGUAUGGUAAGGGCAGUCUAAGAGGGAGUCAUCAUCUUCCUUCUCGAGAAACUUGAUUUGUAUUUGCGUUUGAGAAGUUAUUCAACCGAUCAAUACAAACGGUCUUUCUUUCUCUCUUGUGUCUCCUUGAUAAAACUCUCACUCUUUACUCUAUCAAAUUGGUCCAACCUGUCGGAUCCUCUUAUGACAAAAACAAGGAUGGAUUCUAGAAUGGAACAGGUAGAGAAGAGUGUGACGGAUUUGGAAGAAAUAGUGGCUUUGGAAGAAAUAGUUGCUGCCAUUACAUUGGGACAGGAGCGGAUGAGAGCAAGAACACAGGUUCAAUAAGCUAGAGCGGAUGAGAGCAAGGAAAAGGUACCGUCGAGACUGGGGAUUCUUCGAGUCCAUCUCCAGCGAUGCAGCCGAUAAUGGAGAACUCGGUGACGAGGGAAACAAAUAGACCGCUCCUGCUAAGAAACGUGACAGCGGUGGCUAAGAAGGUGGAAAUGCCAGAUUUUGACGGAACAGACCCAGUGGGCUUGGGUGGCAAGGACAAAACAAUUUUUUGAGAUUUAGAGCAUCCCAGAAGAAACCAAAGUCUCUUUGGCACUGGUGAGUAUGGAAGGUGCGUCGUUGCACUGGUUGCGGUGGCUGCGUCAAAAAAACUCACAACUCACAUGGAACCAGCUGCGUGAGGAGCUGCGAGAGAGGUACAAUGAUGAUAUUUUAGAAAAUCCAUAUGAGCAUUUUGUUGCUUUGAAACAGCUGGGCACUGUGGCAGAAUAUGUGGAUGAAUUUGUUGCUCGCGCAUCGCUGGUGCCCGACAUCUCCGAUCGCUAAUGCUUGGGUUUUUUUUUUAAAUGGACUGAGGGAGGAUAUUAGGUUACGAUUGAGGUCUCAUGAAACUACUGACCUCUAUAAAACUAUGAAACUCGCUCGGGAGAUUGAACGAUAGAGGAACUCUUCGAGCAAGAAGAAAGGGAUGACGUGGGACGGUAACACUCAGAAGCAGAAAGGAGUGAGUCACAGUUUGGGCCAAAGAACGCUGGGAACCCAAACCCAAAAAUACAACCACGCAACACCGGUGACCCAAGGGAUAAAAACCCUAAACCACUGCCUGGAGGUCCUGGCCAGAACAAGAUACGGGGUACACGACAGUAUUCUCAUCAAGAAUACUAGGAGAUGCGCUCAAAAGGAUUGUGUUUCAAAUGUAAGUUAUUGUACUCGCUGUUGCAUGAGUGCCCGAGCAAAUCCUUGCAGGCGAUAAUUGCCGGAGAUGAGGAGGUAGAGGAAGGGAAUUUCGCUCAAAUGGAAAUCACGGAGAUUGAUGGUUUGGGAGUCGAUAUAAAUGAAGCUCAUUUUUCCAGGAUGGAGUUGCCGAUGUUCUCUAUAGGAGGCAUACAACACCCAAAAACCAUGAAAUUUCAUGGCUGGGUAGCUGGGACUCCGGUUGUAGUACUGGUAGACAGCGGAGCAAGCCAUAAUUUUGUGUCAUUGGAGCUGGUUCAACGACUCAAAUUGGAAACUGCCGGUACACCCAAAUUUGAUGUCAAGCUGGGCGAUGGGUGUAAGGUACCUUCCACAGGAGUCUGUAAGAAAUUGAAUCUCAGUCUUUCUGAUUAUACAGUUGUCUCUAAUUUCUACCAGUUUCCUUUGGGGGGAGUCGAUUUGAUCUUGGGGGUUGUCUGGUUGGAAUCUUUGGGGGACAUUCGAGCUAACUGGAAGAAAAUGUAUUUGAAGUUCCAAGACGGCAAUAAGAAAGUCUGCUUAUCGGGUGAUACCUCUUUGAAUAGAACUCGAGUGUCAUUACGAGCUAUCCGAAAAACAAUAGAUGUGGACUAUGCAGUGGUUUUGUGGCUAUUAAGUACUCUACCAUUGACAGAUGCAGAAGAAGUUAUCCUGUCGGAAAAACAACAGAUGGAGCUACAAAAAUUGUUGGACAAGAAUAAGAAGAUCUUUGAAGAACUCCAGGGCCUUCCUCCUCGGAUAACUGUAGAUCAUCGUAUUCCGCUUCAAUCUGGAACAGGGCCGGUCUUAGUGAAGCCGUACCGAUAUGGACAUACACAGAAGGACGAAAUAGAGAGAUUGGUAAAAGAAAUGCUCUUAGCUGGCAUCAUUCAGCCUAGCACUAGCCCUUUCUCGAGUCCUGUCUUGUUGGUGAAGAAAAAUGAUGGAAGUUGGCGAUUUUGUGUAGACUACCGCCAACUAAAUAAAUCAACUGUGCCUAACAAGUAUCAUAUUUCAGUUAUUCAGAAGUUGCUAGAUGAGCUACACGGGGCGAGAUAUUUCUCUAAAUUAGAUCUAAGAUCUAGCUACCAUCAGAUAAGGGUUGCUGUUCUGGAUAUACACAAGACAGCUUUUCGCGCUUAUUCUGGGCACUACGAAUUUCUAGUGAUGCCAUUCGGACUGAUGAAUGCACCAACCACUUUUCAAGCAGUGAUGAAUGACAUUUUUCGACCGCAAUUGAGGAAGUCUGUACUCAUUUUUUUUGACGACAUUCUAGUAUACAGUAGAAUACCUAGGGCACAUGAUUUCAGAGAAAGGAGUGGAAAUGGACCCCGGAAAAAUUUCUGCCAUUGUUUGUUGGCCGACUCUAUGAUCUGUUAAAGGGGUGCGGGGAUUCUUGGGAAUUACUGGAUACUAACGAAGGAUCAUAAAAGGGUAUGGGCAAAUGGCACAGCGCUGAUCGAGCUGUAAAAGAAAGAAAACAGUGGAGUGUUCAAGUGGAGCGAUCAGGCACAGCUAGCAUUCGAUUCACUCAAGAAAACCAUAAUUUCCUCUCCAGUCUUAGGUAUGCCCAAUUUCUCUGUUUCGUUCGUAGUGGAAUGUGAUGCCUCAGGAAGAGGAGUGGGAGCUGUCUUAACACAACAAAAUAGACCAAUCGCUUAUUUCAGCAAGGCAGUAUCGGGAAAGUCAUUAGCUCACUCAGCAUAUGACAGAGAACUUAUGGCCUUAGUUAUGGCUAUUCAGCAUUGGAGACCUUACUUGAUGGGGCAAAAGUUUACCGUUAAGACUGACCAGCGAAGCCUUAAGCACAUACUAAUGCAACAAGCUACCAUUCCUGCUCAACAAUACUGGUUGUCAAAGCUAAUGGGAUACAGUUUUGUAGUGGAGUAUCGAUCUGGAAAAUCCAACAAAGCUGCUGAUGCCCUAUCAAGACAAGAGGAAGAGGUGCAAAUUCUAGCAAUAUGAAUACCUUUUUGGGCUGAUUGGGAACAGAUUAAUAAGGAGGUAUAGGUUGAUAAGCAACUGAGGAAGAUCAUCGAAGAUCUACAGACAGACUCUCUCCGGCAUGCUCAUUACUCUUUGAUACAUGACCGAUUGUAUUAUCAAGGAAGGCUAGUGCUACCAGCUAAUUCAGAAUGGGUAUCAAAAUUAAUCACCGAAUUUCAUUCUGCUAGUCAAGGAGGACACUCAGGUGCCUCUAGGACAUACCGACGACUGGCCUCAAAUUUUUAUUGGAAGGGCAUGAUGGGGGAUGUCAAGAAAUUUGUGGCAGCCUGCCUUGUCUGUCAAACUCAUAAAUACGAUACACAACACCCGGCCAGACUUUUGCAACCCCUUCCAAUACUAAAUAGAAUAUGGGAAGACAUCUCCAUCGACUUCAUAACAGGUUUGCCAUGCUCUAAUGGGUUUGAUUGCAUUUUUGUGGUUGUUGAUCGCUUAUCUAAAUUCAGCCAUUUUAUACCACUUUGUCAUCCUUACACCGCCAAGACAGUAGCUGAAAGAUUUGUAAAGGAAGUAGUAAGACUACAUGGGUUACCAAGAACCAUUGUGAGUGACAGGGAUCCGCUAUUUUUGAGUAAUUUUUUGGGGGAAAUGUUCAGGUUGCAAGGAACACAACUCAAAUUUAGUACAGCAUGCCAUCCACAAAAGAAUGGCCAGACAGAAGUCAUAAACAGGUGCCUUGAGACUUAUUUGCGAUGUUUUUCCUCGGAACAGCCGAAAGGGUGUUCCAAAUGGUUGUGUUGGGCAGAAUAUUGGUACAACACCAAUUUUCAAUCUUCUGCGGGGAAGACUCCUUUUGAGAUUGUUUAUGGGAGAUUACCUCCUGUUAUUCAGCAGUUCUUACCAAGAGAAACCAAAGUAGAAGAGGUAGCACAGCAAGUUGCAGACAAGGAUGAAAUGAUAAGGCUAUUAAAGUAUAACCUAUGUCGAGCUCAGCAGAUUAUGAGUAAAAGUGCCAACAAGCAUCGUAGGGACUUAAAAUUUGAAGUUGGGGAUGCGGUUUUUCUCAAAUUGCAACCACUUAGGCAACAAUCAGUGGCAAAAAGGGCAUCCGCAAAGUUAUCGGCCAGAUAUUUUGGGCCUUUCACCAUUCUAGCAAGGGUAGGAUCUGUAGCUUACAAGCUUAAUCUGCCAAAAGAAUCACGUAUACAUCCAGUAUUCCAUGCUUCUCAACUAAAACGAGUAGUAGGUAACCAUCCCGUGAUUGCAGCUAUCCCUGACCAUCUGGAGGAGAAUGAAGAACUCUUGGUGGAACCCAAAACUAUUUUACAACACAAGCAAGAUCAAUUGGAAAAUCAAACAAUGGAACAAGUUUUGGUGAAAUGGAAGGGGAAGGGGAUUGAAGACGCUACAUUGAUGAAUUUAUUAGACUUCUGGGGACAAUUUCAUUACUUCAGUCUUGAGGACAAGACUAAUCCUUAACAAGGAAGUAAUGAUAAGGCUGAGGGCUCAAAAACAAGAAAUUUUUAAGGUAUAUUUCAGGAGAAGGAAGAAAUAGGGUGCACACAAUUGAUAAUCAUACAGCUGGCAGAUUUUGGGAAUAAUGGGUAAGGACAAGUGGCAGGGAUUAGUUACAAGGGUAGAUUCCCCUCCAGUUUUUAAGGAGGAAUUGGGCAGAGAAUCAGGUAUCUUUUCUCAGUCCAUUUUUUCUCUAUUCUAGAGAGGGCAGAAGGUCUUUCUUUUGCAGAGGAGAGUGCCUUACUCUUGGGAUUGGUUACAGUCAUUUUUUCUUUUCUUUAUUUUGUAUGGUAAGGGC